UACGUAGGGUCCGAGCGUUGUCCGGAAUUAUUGGGCGUAAAGAGCUCGUAGGCGGUUUGUCGCGUCUGCUGUGAAAUCCCGAGGCUCAACCUCGGGCCUGCAGUGGGUACGGGCAGACUGGAGUGCGGUAGGGGGAGAAUGGAAUUCCUGGUGUAGCGGUGGAAUGCGCAGAUAUCAGGAGGAACACCGGUGGCGAAGGCGGAUCUCUGGGCCGAUACUGACGCUGAGGAGCGAAAGCGUGGGGAGCGAACAGG
rnacentral:rRNA from 1 species